rnacentral:tRNA from 2 species
GCCCGCUUGGCUAAGCGGUAUAGCGUGUCACUAGUAACUACUUGACAUGACAAGGUGAUCAGUUCGACUCUGAUAGUGGGCA